GCGGGUUUAGCUUAGUGGUAGAGCGUGUUCUUAACAUACACAGGGUCCUGGGUUCAAUCCCCAGUACUGCCA
rnacentral:tRNA from 1 species